rnacentral:rRNA from 1 species
AUUGAACGCUGGCGGCAGGCCUAACACAUGCAAGUCGAGCGGAGCGGGGGACGGGUGGGUAAGGACUGGUAAGCUACCUGGUAGUGAGGGAUGCCGUCCGGAGGGGGGCGCUAAUACCGCCUGCGUGCACUUGGGUCUAGGUGGGAUUAGCUAGUUGGUGGGGUAAUGGCUUACCAAGGCGGCGAUCCGUAACUGGUCUGAGAGGAUGAUCAGUCACACUGGAACUGAGACACGGCCCAGACUCCUACGGGAGGCAGCAGUGGGGAAUAUUGGACAAUGGGCGAAAGCCUGAUCCAGCCAUGCCGCGUGUGUGAAGAAGGUCUUCGGAUUGUAAAGCACUUUAAGUUGGGAGGCGUUACCAACAGAAUAAGCACCGGCUAACUUCGUGCCAGCAGCCGCGGUAAUUC